GAUCCUGGCUCAGGAUGAACGCUGGCGGCGUGCUUAACACAUGCAAGUCGAGCGAAGCACAUAAGUUUGAUUCUUCGGAUGAAGACUUUUGUGACUGAGCGGCGACGGGUGAAGGUAACGCGUGGGUAACCUGCCUCAUACAGGGGGAUAACAGUUAGAAAUGGCUGCUAAUACCGCAUAAGACCACAGUGCUGCAUGGUACAGUGGUAAAAACUCCGGUGGUAUGAGAUGGACCCG
rnacentral:rRNA from 1 species